GCAGAACAUUAGCAUCUUCAAUAAACUCAACAAUAAAGUCGUAUAACUCUAAGCACUCUUAGGGAACUAGCAUUCUUCAAAGCAUGUUUUAGCUCCUUUUGUGCCUGAUGAUAUCAGUGGUGAGAGCAAUCUGAAGUUGAAAAAUCCCAUGAAGAGAACUGGAGUCUACUUAUUUGUUCCCUCAGACUGCCAAUUCUAGCAGGAGUCUCCAAAAGUGAAGUUAUUACUGAGAAGUUCUGCAAGGAGCAUAACAACCAGGAAAUGGGAGCUAAAAAGGUGCAUUCGCUUUCACAUACUAAAUGAGGCAAAGAACCUUGGAUCAAAAAGAAAUUUGGUAUACAGCCAACAGAAGUAUUAGCCAAAAUACUACAAGAAGCAAAGUAGGAGAUGCCUUUCCCCUGAAUUGAGAUUUAAAUUGAGGACUUACA
rnacentral:lncRNA from 1 species